UACACGCAUAGACAUAUCGUAAAUAUACCCACAUCAGUCUAUACACAACAUGCAUAUAUGUGUAGUAUAUAUUUAAAUGUGUGUGUGUAGUAUAUAAAUCAGUGUACAUAUACGUUAAUAACUAUAUAAACUGAUAAUAAGUGUAUAUAUGGUCAUACACAUAAAUAUAUAUAUAUACACAUAUAUACUUGUGUAUUUUGAUGUUUGUAUAUAUACGAUAUGUAUAUACGAUAUGUUUAUGCGUGUACGUAUACAUUAGGUAUCAGCUAUAUAUACUGUUAUUAGUGUGUAAAAAAUACAUUGAUAUGUGUGUGUAAUGUCUGUAUAGACAAUGUGUAUAUACUGAUAUACGUAUAUGUGUGAAGUGCAUGCCUGUAUAUAUACAGUUAUGAACAUAUAUGUAUACUGAUUUAUAUACUACACCCAUACACACACACGUAUUCACAUUUACACACACACACUCGCACUCACACUCACAGAUAUAUAUAUUACACAUACAUGCGUGUUGUGUAUGGACUGAUGUGUGUAUAUCUAUGAUAUGUACAUUGAUUUAUAUACUACAUCCAUAUACUCACACACACGUGCACUCACACUCUCACUCACACAUACUCACAUUCACAGUCACAGUCACAGUCACACUCACACUCAAAGACAUAUCUAUAUAUUACAUAUAUAUGCGUGUUGUGUACGGACUGAUGUGUGUAUAUAUAAUAUGUAUAUACUGACAUAUUUAUGCGCCUAUAUAUACAGUUGCUUGCUAUCAGUUAUUUACAAUUAUCAAUGUAUAUAUACACUGAUAUGUGCACGCACAUACACGCUUACACAUUAAUUAGUGCAUAUACAGUUAUGAAGGUAUAUAUGUACACUGAGUUAUAUACUACAUCCACAGACACACACUCACACUCACACACUCACACUCACAGAUAUAUAUAUUACACAUAUACGUGUUGUGUAUGGACAAAUGUGUGUUUAUAUACACAUAUAUACGAUAUGUAUAUACUGAUAUAGUUAUGCGUCUAUGUAUACAGUUGCUUGCUAUCAGUUAUAUACAAAUAUCAAAGUAUAUACGCACGCAUAUGUGCACGCACAUGCAUUCCAUGUACUUAUUACCAGUUUAUAUUUAUAUAUAAUGUGUAUAUAUACGAUAUGCAUAUACUGAUAUGGUUAUACGUUUAUGUAUAAACUUGCUAUCAGUUAUAUAUACACUGAUAUGCUCACACACAUGCACCCCUACGCAUUGAUAGUACUUACAUAUAUUUCUAUAUAGAUCGAUAUAAAUGACCAUAUGGACACCUUUUAUCAGUUUAUACAGUUAUUAGCAUAUAUGUACACCAAAAUGUAUAUAUGCUCUCUCUUAUUCAUAUGUUUAAAGGGUUUAUAUAUACACUAAUGUAUAAGACCAUUUAUAUACUUAUUAUCA
rnacentral:lncRNA from 1 species